GCCGGGCCGCGCGGGGGGGCGGGGGCAGCCAGAAGUUUGUGUGCGCGCGCGAGCGGGGCGGGAGCGGAGGGGCGCGCGGGGGGCGCCUCGGGCGGGCAGUGCAGCCGUCUCGCUCCGAGCUAGGUGUGGAAUGAAUGGAGGGAGGAGUGGGCGCUCGCCGGCCUCGGGGGGAGGACGAGUGAGGGGAGGAGCUUCUGGCGCGCCCGGGAGGUCGGAGGUGCGGAGCCAUUCCGCGCACGCCCCAGACAGGCGGCCCCGGUGGUGGCCGAAUCCCUGCGGGAAUCGGGUUUGCACGCCGCGCUCACGGCCGCGGAGUCCUGGGGGCCCCCGACUCUGCCGCCUGGACGGUGGCUCCCAGGCCUCUGCCCUGGUCCUCGCGCUCCGAUCGGGGCUUCAACUAAACAUCCUCCAAACUCCCCAGCCCGGAGUCUCUCCCGGUUCACUUCAGCUCCCUCCUGGAUUCUUUGAAAGGAUGCCCUGCCGUCGCCUCCCACAUAAGAAGACUCGGGUCCACGCUUAGGCAGUGUUUUUGAAGCUGUGGGUCGCGACACAUUAACUGAUCGUAAAAUUGGUUCCGUGGAUGGCGACCCCUUUAAAAAAAUGCGAUGCAGUAGAAGCGACAGUAUUAGAAUCCAUUGUCCUUUAGUGAGGGUCACUAUGGUUUCAGAAUCCUUUUGUUUCAGUUGUAUAUACUGGACAACUGUACAGACCAUGAUGUAAAUUUUUUAUUUCCUACUGUGGGUCAAGGGUCAAAAGUUUAAAAUCUGUACCGUGGGAGCUAUAAAGUAACGAUCACUGUAACUUUCUUAAAAACAACCAUGAUUUUCUCACUACUUCUUAUCCUUCCCAACCUCCAUACCCCGUGACGGCACCCCCCCCCCCCCAAAAGUAAGCCCUUUCAUACACUUAGCUAGUUUGGGUGGUAAGUGCAUAGUUCCCCCUUCCUCUUAGGGUGACCUUUGACUCUGCCAGUUUCUUCACCCCUAUAUCCAGUGCAGCGCUCCCUACUGCUUCUCUUAGCCUAAGGUUAUUCACCUUUGCAGAAUCCUAGAUUACCACUGCUGGAAACACCAUCUGGGGCAGCCCUCCCUUUUAGAACCGAAAAAGGGAGGCCCCUAGAAGCCAAGUGCAUUGCCCAGUAUUGCACACCAUUCACUCUUAAGAUUUUCUACCUGUGCCCGACUUGGGUCCUUCACAAAACAGCCAGAGGCAGCGUGAGAUGAAGAUAGAUCUGGGUUCAGAGCCCCGUUCCUCCACUUUGUAGCUGUGUGAGCUUGGUCAAAUUGCUUCACCUCUCUGAGCUGCAGUUUCUGCAUCAGCAUUACUAUGAGAUCGGCUACCUAACAGAACUCGUUGCAUGGAUGGAAACAUAACCAUUGGUGGCUGCUGAGCACAUGGAAUGUGAUUAAUGUGCCUGAGGAACUGGAUUUUUCAUUUCCACGGCCACAUGUGGCGGGCGGCUACCAUAUUGGAUGGAGAUCUCUAAACUGCCCAUUCAGCAAGGGCAAAAGCCACAUUGAUCUUAAUUCCCCAGCAAGGAGCAUGUUGCCUGGCAUAGGCUAGAUCCUGCCCAAAUAUCUGGGGAGUGAUGGCAGCCCCCAUGUAUUGUGUGCAACUUUGCAGCACGCACAGUGCUAAGAGCUGGGUUUUAAUUAUUUUGUAUAGUGCUCCCCAUGGCCCCUGAGGUGGGGUUGGAGAUAGAGCUAGUACAGAGUGCUGGCAGAUAAAAGAGAUUCAAUAAAAGCUUGUUGUUAUUAUUAU